AGAGUUUGAUCAUGGCUCAGAAUCAACGCUGGCGGCGCGCUUAACACAUGCAAGUCGAACGAGAAAGCCCGCAAGGGUGAGUAAAGUGGCGUACGGGUGAGUAACACGUGGGUAAUCUGCUCUUUGGUGGGGAAUAACCCUGGGAAACCGGGGCUAACACCGCAUAAGCCCGGAAGGGGAAAAGAGAAAUCUGCCGAAGAAGGAGCCCGCGGCUGAUUAGCUAGUUGGUGAGGUAAAGGCUCACCAAGGCGAUGAUCGGUAGCCGGCCUGAGAGGGCACACGGCCACACUGGCACUGAAACACGGGCCAGACUCCUACGGGAGGCAGCAGUGGGGAAUCUUGCACAAUGGGGGCAACCCUGAUGCAGCGACGCCGCGUGAGCGAUGAAGCCCUUCGGGGUGUAAAGCUCUUUCGGCCAGAACGAUAAUGACGGUACUGGAAGAAGAAGCUGCGGCUAACUACGUGCCAGCAGCCGCGGUAAUACGUAGGCAGCGAGCGUUGUUCGGAGUUACUGGGCGUAAAGCGUGCGUAGGCGGUUUUCUAAGUUUGGUGUGAAAUCUCCCGGCUCAACCGGGAGGGUGCGCCGAAGACUGGGAGGCUGGAGUAUGGGAGAGGUAGGCGGAAUUCCUGGUGUAGCGGUGAAAUGCGUAGAUAUCAGGAGGAACACCAGCGGUGUAGACGGCUUACCGGACCAUCACUGACGCUGAGGCACGAAAGCGUGGGGAGCAAACAGGAUUAGAUACCCCAGUAGUCC
rnacentral:rRNA from 1 species